UGGCAGUGCGUCUUAAGCAUGCAAGUCAAACGGGAUGUAGCAAUACAUCUAGUGGCGAACGGGUGAGUAACGCGUGGAUGAUCUACCUACGAGAUGGGGAUAACUAUUAGAAAUAGUAGCUAAUACCGAAUAAAGUCAAUUAAUUUGUUAAUUGAUGAAAGGAAGCCUUUAAAGCUUCGCUUGUAGAUGAGUCUGCGUCUUAUUAGCUAGUUGGUAGGGUAAAUGCCUACCAAGGCGAUGAUAAGUAACCGGCCUGAGAGGGUGAACGGUCACACUGGAACUGAGAUACGGUCCAGACUCCUACGGGAGGCAGCAGCUAAGAAUCUUCCGCAAUGGG
rnacentral:rRNA from 1 species